UUUUGACCUCAAUUCAAAUGUGAUUACCCGCUGAAUUUAAGCAUAUAACUAA
rnacentral:rRNA from 1 species